CCCAGUGGUUGUCAGCUAUCCAGGCUAGUGUGAUGCCUUGGAUGGUGUUACAGUGCUGGGACAUUAAACACUGCCUUGUUUGGGUGCUGACUUCAGCGCUGUUCUUGUGCUGUAAACCAGUACUCUGGGCAGUGUUUUGCACCUUCUGAGAGUGGAUUGACUUCUUUAAUGGAGUUAGUCCUAGUCUGGGUGCAUACAUU